GCGGGGCGGGGGUGCAGGGACUGCCGCGGAGGGCGUAGGGACCCCAGGGGGGACCGGGACUGAGGUAGCAGAGCGAGAGAGAGCCCGGGGCGGAAGCCGGGACUGAGAGAGCAGACGCUGAGUGCAGGGCCGGAGCCGGGGCUGAAUCCCGAACCUCGGGGCAGGACCCGGCGCUGAGAUCCCAGAGCCCAGCACGGGAGCCGGGACUGGGAGCCUCAGACCGGAGUCUCUCGGAGACCAUCCGCAGCCAAGACGGGCGGCAGUCCCAGCGCGAGCAUCCAUCCCUGCAGACACGCGGCUCACAGCCUGAAGCGCCCACUUCUGCACUGUCCUCGGUUUAGCACAGAUGGACACCAGCUCUCCCCACACCGCUGGGACACAGCCCUCCAGCCCCAGCUUUGCUUGGUGCCGCUGCAUUCAACCCUGCUCUGCUGCCAGGGGGAAACGCAGGCACGAGCAGCUCCAUCGUCCCCACCUUGCUAAUUAAAGCCCCCAGAAAUAGGUCAGGCUAUUUCCAUCCCGAGGCCAUAAUGACUGCUCAACAGUGUUUUCUUUCUCUUUGCCCACGCUAACUCUCCACGUGCAUUUCAUCUACAGAGAGCUUAGGCUUCAAACGCUGCAGCCCCUGAGCCUUGACAUUUUAAAGGAAAAAACCUCCAGAAGCAGUACAUCUAGUCCAGCCCACUGCCCACCCACUUAUCACUGUGGUUUCUUCCACUUCCUACGCAGCUUUGCAUCUCCAAUUGCCAGUCUUUCCCUUUGCAUCUUAUAAAAGAAGUUAUUUAUAUUGCGGUGUCAUCCACGACAAGCUCAGACGAAAGUCUCAGCAUAUGGCAGCAUGUUAUUGAGCAAGGAGCAUUGUGAAAGGGAGCUCCAAACCAGCCUCUCCUGACACAAACAGGCACAUAGGAUGGGUUUUUAUGGUCUUUCUACAAUAAGUGCCACAUUUCUAGGAAACAGCAGGUAAUGCUACAAACCAAUUAUCUGACAAAUGACGGUACAUCUUGAAAAAGAAUGCUUGUAAGUGGCUUUAUUGCUCCUGUGAUAGCACAAGCCUGAUAGCGAGGUCAGCACCAACGAGCUCAGCAGCAAUAAAUACCACGAGUGUCAUAACAGUUGAUUGUAUUAAGCAAAAAUAAAAUAGAAACUGGAGAAGAAAUGGAAGCAAAUGAAAGAAAAGCAGGUCUGCUUUUAGUUACCAACAAGAGGAACACGGUAAUACUGUGUGACAUGUGUUUGUGGGAAAAGGAAGAAAAGCAGAACUAAAAGGCAGAAGGCAGGGAAAGUGGGGAAAAAAAAAAAAAAAGUGUAAUUCUCUGCUAUGUCCCAGGAUUUACAAUGCUUUGCUGCUAUUUCCAACUGUUGUUGACCUGAUCUCUUUCUCCUGGAGCUACCCUCAGCCCAUGCCACUCUAGAUUUGUUAUUCCCCCUUGGAAAUCUUCCUUAAAAGGAGCCUCACCAACUCUGCUUCUCCCCUCUCCUCCACUUCUUCCUCCCCACAAUCAUCAGGUCCUAAAGCAUGGGAAAAUGACAGAUGUUCAAGCUAAAAUAAAAAGGCCUCUGCUCUUUUCCAAGAGAGGGAGAUGUGGCAAGUUUGUGAGCAGGAACAGGAUUACUCUCAGCGUGCUCCAGAUCAGCAGGAAAAAUCUCCUGAUUCAAGGGAAAGAUGCUGCGGCCUAUGAAUUGCAGGAAAAGGCAGAGCUAGUGUGGUUAAAAGGCAAUAAAAAAGGAGGGUUGGGGCAGUGGAGCUGUCAGCUGGCUUCUUCCCAUGAAGAAAAGGAGUUAGUCAUCAGAACUGAAAACUUCAUGCAAGUUCAGCACACAUGGAAACGAUGAAGCGAGGAGCAGCGAGGAGAGGCAGCCAGCAUCCUCCCCACACUGCCUUCAGAGCAGAUUUUGUGGGAUUGCUCGAGGAAAUACCGUGAGGGCUCUCCCAGGUCUGAAGGGGAUGCACACCGCCUGCAUGCAGCACACCUCCGAGCUCCCAUCCCACUGCUCCUGUGAGAUUAGCACACACACUAACAGGGAGAGCCCUCUCGACAGACCCGUGCAGUCUGGACUCCAAAUCAGAUGAACAAAACAGUAAUCCUAUUUUUAAAUGAAGAAAAAGCCACGCACUUGAAGCAGCAAACUGUUCUGUACGCAUGCAGUAUAGAUGCUAUCCCUUUGGAAUAAAGGAGCAGAACAGGAGAAAGUUUCUUCCACUUAGAGGACAUUACCCUAUAUAGGAAAGAGAGACUGUCUUGCACUGCAAUCAUCUUUUUCCCCAUCAGUUCUGAUUGCCAACAUAUCCACAGUCGUGAGCCUGCUUACAGGAUGUGCCUUCUACCCUAUGCAUCUUUUAACAUAUUUUAAAAUCAUACUUAAGGAACAAACUAGUUUCCCAGUACUCCAGCAGCUUUAAUUAUUAAUGUUCCAGUACUUAAACCGAUACAGUAAAAUCUACCCAGACACUGGAAAAUGAGCAUACUUCAUACUUUCAAGGUAACAGACUCACGAUGGAAAAAAUCUAGCUGGGCAACCAGCAGCAUUUGUCUUUGUCACAGUAUUUCCAGCAGCUCUGCAUUUUCCUGAAUGAUGCAGAAACUCCUGCCCCAGUUCCAGCACCCACUUUUUCAUCCCAUCCCUUGACACGGACCAAUCCUCAUUUCUCCUCUCAGCUGAAUCACUCGGAAGGCACACGUUCAAGGGACAGAAAAAUGUCACCAGCUGCUGCUUGCUCUCAAGCCAGGACAACAUUGCCAUCCCACGGCCCAGCACCGCAGUGCAGCUCCCACGUUCGGUGGCUGCUGCCCUUCCAGCACUACAGCUCAUUACGUAGCAUACAGGAAGAAUCUCGGUUUGUAAACUGUGGUAGAGACAGAAGAAGGAAUGAAAGUAUUCAUUUAUCACUGCACAUUUUGCUCUGUGCUGAAAAUGCCUUAUACCAAGCACGCAUUUCAAAACCAAAGCCAUCAGAAGUCAGAUGAAUCGGAGCAGAGCCUGCAUAUCCAACAGCCCAUCACGACAGAAAUCUGCAAUAAAACGUGUCUGCACGUGGGUCAGCCCCAAAACCGAGCUGAGGAGACCUAUUCCAUUGCAGUCAUUGACUGCUUUAUAAAAACUCAUGGAAGUUUUGGAAGAUGCUGGCUCUGGAGCUGGCAAUAUAGGCAGGCUGUGUGCCAGCACUGGAACAGCUGGGCUGGAAGCUCACACAACUUCAGCUGCACAGCAGUGAA